AUACGGAGGGUGCAAGCGUUAUCCGGAUUCAUUGGGUUUAAAGGGUCCGCAGGCGGGGAAAUAAGUCAGUGGUGAAAGCCUACAGCUCAACUGUAGAACUGCCAUUGAUACUGUUUUUCUUGAGUAUAGAUGAAGUGGGCGGAAUAUAUCAUGUAGCGGUGAAAUGCAUAGAUAUGAUAUAGAACACCGAUUGCGAAGGCAGCUCACUAAACUAUUACUGACGCUCAGGGACGAAAGCGUGGGGAGCGAACAGGAUUAGAAACCCCAGUAGUCC
rnacentral:rRNA from 1 species